GUAGGGUGUGUGUGUGGUGAGUGUGUGUGUGCUGUGCGUGUGAUAUGGUUUCACUGUGUCCCCACCCAAACCUCACCUUGACUUGUAGUUCCCAUAAUCCCCAUGUGUUGAGGGUGGGACCUGGUAGGAAGUGACUGCAUCACGGGGGUGGUUUUCUCCUUCCCCCAUCAUGCUGUUCUCAUGAUAGUGAGUGAGCUCUCAAGAGAUCUGGUGGUUUUAUAAGGGACUCUUCCCCUUCGCUUGGAACUUCUCCUUCCUGCCACCCUGUGAAGAAGGUGCCUUGCUUUCCCAUCCCCUUCUGCCAUGAUUGUAAGUUCCCUGAGGCCUCCCAGCCAUGCCGAACUAAAAUGCUGCUAUGGCAUUCCCUGCAGUCCACGUUGCUAGGAGAGGAUGAAUUCAGGAGCUGUGGGCUUUCCAGACUUUCAGUCAGCCCCUGUCAACACCCCUUAAAUAACCAGUGGUAAACUGCCUGUCAGAAUGAUGGAGAGCCACUUGAUUCCCAUUUCCUUCUCUAGGGCACAGACUCUCACCUCAUUGCCAGGCUGGCAGGUCAUUCGUCCAGGCAUCAUAUGGCUAUAAAACCAGUGGUAUUCUUUUUAUUUGAAAUGGGGUGGUAGUAGUGGUGGUGGGGAGACAUAAAUCCUAAGUGGUUCACACAGGAUGCAAAGUGACACAAUUUGUGUGUAUGUAAGAGUGUAUAUGAGUUUGGGGGUGGGAGGGCCUUAUUUUGGGAGAAAAUUCUCCCAAAUGUUGGAGUAUUGGGGGCAAAAAUUCUGUUACUCUGAACAAUGUCUGCAUAACAGUGAAAAUCAGAGGACCGUAAGUAUUGAAAAGUACUGCCAAAAUAAUGGGGUUUGAAGGCAGAUGUGUAUUGAAAAACCCUGAAUGAGAAUAAGGGUGCUGCUGAAUCAGGAGGCAGAAAGGAGGGACUUUCAGCUGGUUCACAUGGAAGAGAUAUGAAAUGCUUUAGACAGUCUGGAAAGGUAGGAAGCAGAUGUGAAAUGAACAGGGGGCAACCUGUUGAGAGCUGUUUUGAGAACUGAGAGAACAGACAUCUCAGUAUGCCUCAAAUAUUGAGCUAGAAAAGAGGCAGCCUAAAGGAGCAUCUAACACAAGCCAAAACAAAACCAAAAUACCUUAAAUCAAGCCCAAAAAAAAAAGACAACAGGAAAGAACCUUCCUCCUGGAAAUAUAAAUGUGGUAGAGGGGUUAAUGAUGGUGCUGUAUAUCAGGAAUGGAAGGUAGGAGCAGCAGGAUUCAGAAUUCUUGGAGUAGAGGUUGAGUGAAGAAGUCAGCUCACUAAAGGGAACUAGAGUAAUGCUUGCAAGGACCUUGUCUGUUUCACAUGCUGGUUGUUCCAUGGUGGCAGAAGUGGGAUCUGAUGUUCUACAUCUUGCAUAACUAAAAAGGUAGCAUGCACUAAACUUGGAAAGAUCUUAAAUCUGUACCCUGAAAAUUAUCCCACAUUCGUGGAAAAAUUAGUAUGCCUAUUAGUAUUGUCACCAUGCAAGAACUGCACUGGCAAUGAAGACAGUGAUGUAAGAAGACAGAAGUGAGUCCAGACACAGGAUCCAUUGUCUAAGCAACUGAUGGGAGAAAUGGCUUCGUGACUGUCCUGAGGCAAUGGUGGUGAGGCAGGAAUUAAACACCUCCCAGGGAUGAAAUGGUGUCACCUUGUAUUGUGUUUCACCUUAAUUAUCUCCAUGAGAACUUCACACAUGUAUUAAAAAAACCCAACAUGACACAUUCGUAAGGUAGUUACUAUCUGUUGCAGAAUUUCAUGUAUUAUAUUUGUGCCCUAAGUUAGCCAUUAUUAUCCCAAUUUUAUAGUUAAGGGAAUGGAAACUCAAAAAACAUAUGGCUUGCUUACAGAGCUACACAACUUGUGGGAGAGGAGCUGGGAUUGGGACUCCAAUUUUGGGACUCUGUGUUCAUCAUGUUUUUUGGUCCCCCAUGUUCCCCUUCUUUAAAUGACUGAGUACAUGUCAUUUCAAAAACUUGUGGCCUUGGGCAAUGGCAGGCAGAAUAGGAAGUAAAUAUGUCUCAUUUUCCCUUUGUGAUUUCUCUAUGGUUCCAUAAAGAAAUAAACACAUUUAAAAGGUUAGCCAUUUGCCUUUGCCUGAGUAAAGUAUAAAGUUUUUUAAAAAAGCAUUUCCAGUUAUUUUGUGUAUUAAUCUAAUGAUGG
rnacentral:lncRNA from 1 species